GGCUCCUCCCCCUCUGUAUUAGUUCUUUGAAAGUUUGGUAGAAUUCAGCAGUGAAGCCCUCUCUCCCUAGGCUUUUCUUUGUUGGGAGUGAGUUUUUUUUGUUUUUUUUUUUAAAUUACUGACUCAAUCUCAUUUCUCAUUAUUGGUCUAUUCAGGAUUUCUGUUACUUUCCGAUUCAGUCUUGGAUUUACAGAAAGCGUGGUGCUGGCAUCUGAUCAGCUUCUGGGGUGGCCUCAGGAAGCUUACAAUCAUGGUGGCAUUUGAAGUGGAAGCGAGAGAGAGAAGAGGAGAUGCAACACACUUUUAAACAAGAUUUCAGGAGAACUCAUUCACUAUGUUCUGGAGACCAGAAGGCCAAAAUCAAAAGUAUGGGCAGGCUUGAUUUCUUUAGAAGACUCCAGCGGAGAACUGUGUCUCCUUGCUUCUGAUUCUACAUCUCCAUCCAUGGGCCACUGUUUCAGCAACCUCAGCCAGUGCAACACAACCUCAGCCAAGAAGAGUAUGCAGAGAAAGGAGUCCCCUACCUGCCACAAAACUGUUGUCUGAAAACUGUCUCAUAUUGUCUCAAGUUGUCAUUCAUUGUGAAUUAGACCUGUUUAACAUGUAAUCUGCAACAUGCUUCACUGUCUAAUUUUCCAGAGCCCCUCAUAUAAGGAACUGUAUUAUUGGUAUAAUCAUCAUGGUGAAGAAGUUGGUAUGUGGGGGAGAGAUGACAGAAACAGAGAGUAAGUCAGAGCUGGCUGCCUGACAGAUAAAAAGGAAAUGACCAAAAAAAAAAAAAAAGACACAGAAGAAUACUUUGUUGUCCACACAGAAAAGGGAAGUGUAGGUAAGACAGCAGUAGACUAAGAUUCUUAAGACUCAAGUUCUAGUCUUAUUUAUUAGCUAUGGGAGGCCUUGAGGGAGUUCUAGAAUUAAGUGAUCUCUCUUUAUAAAAUAGGAACAGUAAUAA
rnacentral:lncRNA from 1 species